CGGUGUUCAACUGGCGUGUCCGCGGGACGUCCUGCCGGUGGGCUUAGCCCGCAAGGGCGGCCCAACUUCAAAUCCCAUCGCGGUGCUCUUCACUGAGUGUCGAGGUGGGCCGGCACGUUUACUUUGAACAAAUUAGAGUGCUUAAAGCAGGCUAAAACUUCGCCUGAAUACUGUGUGCAUGGAAUGAUGGAAUAGGACCUCGGUUCUAUUUUGUUGGUUUUCGGAACCCCGAGGUAAUGAUUAAUAGGAACGGAUGGGGGCAUUCGUAUUGCGACGUUAGAGGUGAAAUUCUUGGAUCGUCGCAAGACGGACAGAAGCGAAAGCAUUUGCCAAAAACGCUUUCAUUGAUCAAGAACGAAAGUUAGAGGUUCGAAGGCGAUCAGAUACCGCCCUAGUUCUAACCAUAAACGAUGCCAGCUAGCGAUCCGUCGACGUUCCUCCGAUGACUCGACGGGCAGCUUCCGGGAAACCAAAGCUUUUGGGUUCCGGGGGAAGUAUGGUUGCAAAGCUGAAACUUAAAGGAAUUGACGGAAGGGCACCACCAGGAGUGGAGCCUGCGGCUUAAUUUGACUCAACACGGGAAACCUCACCAGGCCCGGACACCGGAAGGAUUGACAGAUUGAGAGCUCUUUCUUGAUUCGGUGGGUGGUGGUGCAUGGCCGUUCUUAGUUGGUGGAGCGAUUUGUCUGGUUAAUUCCGAUAACGAACGAGACUCUAGCCUGCUAACUAGGCGUAUUUUCGACAUCUCAAAGGUCCGUCGUCCCGGCCCUCGGGUCGUGGGCGUGCGCGAUUUUUACUGUCGGCGUACUAUCAAUUCUUCUUAGAGGGACAGGUGGCUUCUAGCCGCACGAGAUUGAGCAAUAACAGGUCUGUGAUG
rnacentral:rRNA from 1 species